rnacentral:misc_RNA from 1 species
GAUGAAGAACGCAGCGAAAUGCGAUACGUAGUGUGAAUUGCAGAAUUCAGUGAAUCAUCGAAUCUUUGAACGCACAUUGCACCUCUCGGUAUUCCGGGAGGUAUGCCUGUUCGAGCGUCAUUUGUACCCUCAAGCUCUGCUUGGUGUUGGGUGUUUGUUCCGCCUCUGUGUGUGAACUCGCCUCAAAACAAUUGGCAGCCGGCGUACUUGUUUCGGAGCGCAGCACAUUUUGCGGUCCAGAUCAACGUACAGCGGCAUCCAAGAAGCCUUAUUUAACGCUCUUGACCUCGGAUCAGGUAGGGAUACCCGCUGAACUUAAGCAUAUCAAUAAGCGGAGGA